rnacentral:rRNA from 1 species
GUAGGGAAUAUUGGGCAAUGGUCGGAAGACUGACCCAGCCAUGCCGCGUGCAGGAAGACGGCCCUCUGGGUUGUAAACUGCUUUUAUCUGGGAAGAAAAAGGCCAUGCGUGGCAAAUUGCCGGUACCAGAUGAAUAAGCACCGGCUAACUCCGUGCCAGCAGCCGCGGUAAUACGGAGGGUGCGAGCGUUGUCCGGAUUUAUUGGGUUUAAAGGGUGCGUAGGCGGCUGAUUAAGUCAGCGGUGAAAGACUUCGGCUUAACCGGAGCAGUGCCGUUGAUACUGGUUGGCUUGAGUGUCGGAGGGGUACAUGGAAUUGAUGGUGUAGCGGUGAAAUGCAUAGAUACCAUCAGGAACACUGAUAGCGAAGGCAUUGUACUGGCCGACAACUGACGCUGAUGCACGAAAGUGUGGGGAUCGAACAGGAUUAGAUACCCUUGUAGUCC